rnacentral:rRNA from 1 species
AGUGAACGCUGGCGGUAGGCCUAACACAUGCAAGUCGAACGGCAGCACAGUAAUAGCUUGCUCUUCCGGGUGGCGAGUCGCGGACGGGUGAGGAAUACAUCGGAAUCUACUUUUUCGUGGGGGAUAACGUAGGGGAACUUACGCUAAUACCGCAUACGACCUACGGGUGAAAGCAGGGGAUCUUCGGACCUUGCGCGAUUGAAUGAGCCGAUGUCGGAUUAGCUAGUUGGCGGGGUAAAGGCCCACCAAGGCGACGAUCCGUAGCUGGUCUGAGAGGAUGAUCAGCCACACUGGAACUGGGACACGGUCCAGACUCCUACGGGAGGCAGCAGUGGGGAAUAUUGGACAGUGGGCGCAAGCCUGAUCCAGCCAUACCGCGUGGGUGAAGAAGGCCUUGGGGUUGUAAAGCCCUUUUGUUGGGAAAGAAAAGCAGCAGGUUAAUACCACGCUGUUCUGACGGUACCCAAAGAAUAAGCACCGGCUAACUUCGUG